rnacentral:rRNA from 1 species
UGAUAGGUCUGAGGUGGAAGUGUGGCGACACAUGGAGCUGACAGAUACUAAUCGAUCGAGGACUUAACCUAA